rnacentral:rRNA from 1 species
CAAUAGCGUAUAUUAAAGUUGUUGCAGUUAAAAAGCUCGUAGUUGGAUUUCUGGCAGUGUGACUCCGGCCGGCGUGAUGCCGGCUCGAGCGCGCUACCAUCCUUCUGUCAACCUUCGCGGGUUUUACCGCCCGCCCUGGGGCUCAGAUAUUUUACCUUGAGAAAAUUAGAGUGUUUCAGGCAGGCUAUCGCCGGAAUACAUUAGCAUGGAAUAAUGGAAAAGGACUUCAACCUCUUCUGUUGGUCUGAGAGGCUGUAGUAAUGAUUAAUAGGGAUAGUUGGGGGCAUUAGUACUUGACUGUCAGAGGUGAAAUUCUCCGAUUUGUUAAAGACUAACUUAUGCGAAAGCAUUUGCCAAGGAUGUUUUCAUUAAUCAAGAACGAAAGUUAGGGGAUCAAAGACGAUCAGAUACCAU